rnacentral:rRNA from 1 species
GGAGGGGGCUAGCGUUGUUCGGAUUUACUGGGACUAAAGCGCACGUAGGCGGAUCGAUCAGUCAGGGGUGAAAGGCCUGGGCUCAACCCGGGAACUGCCUUUGAUACUGUCGAUCUUGAAUAAGGGAGAGGUAAGCGGAAUUCCAAGUGUAGAGGUGAAAUUCGUAGAUAUUUGAAGAACACCAGUGCGAAGGCGGCUUACUGGACCGGUAUUGACGAUGAUGUGCGAAAGCGUGGGGAGCGAACAGGAUUAGAUACCCUGGUAGUCCACGCCGUAA